AUUGAACGCUGGCGGCAUGCCUUACACAUGCAAGUCGAACGGCAGCACGGGAGCAAUCCUGGUGGCGAGUGGCGAACGGGUGAGUAAAGUAUCGGAACGUGCCCAGUCGUGGGGGAUAACGUAGCGAAAGUUACGCUAAUACCGCUUACGAUCUAUGGAUGAAAGCGGGGGAUCGCAAGACCUCGCGCGAUUGGAGCGGCCGAUAUCAGAUUAGGUAGUUGGUGGGGUAAAGGCUCACCAAGCCGACGAUCUGUAGCUGGUCUGAGAGGACGGCCGGCCACACUGGGACUGAGACACGGCCCAGACUCCUACGGGAGGCAGCAGUGGGGAAUUUUGGACAAUGGGCGAAAGCCUGAUCCAGCCAUGCCGCGUGCAGGAUGAAGGCCUUCGGGUUGUAAACUGCUUUUGUACGGAACGAAAAGGUUUGGCCUAAUAAGCUGAGCUCAUGACGGUACCGUAAGAAUAAGCACCGGCUAACUACGUGCCAGCCGCCGCGGUAA
rnacentral:rRNA from 1 species